rnacentral:misc_RNA from 1 species
GAAAUGCGAUAUGUAAUGCGAAUUGCAGAAUUCAGUGAAUCAUCAAAUUUUUGAACGCAAAUGGCGCUCUCGGGAUAGACCUGGGAGCACGCCUCUCUGAGUAUCGGUUCAACCUUCACUCGUCUGCGUAUUGAAAACAAUACGAUGUGACGGAAAAUGAGAGUCUAAGCAGUAGCUGCUUAGUCUCUUGAAAUGUAUUGAGCUUCAAUCUACUAGUCUGGUGCUUUCGGGCACUAGCCUUUGUGGCUAUUUUUUAACUAGUUACGUGGAUAACAUCACGUAGUGAUACGAAACGUCAUACUAGUUCUAAAAUAUAACAAGUUACAUAGGUGAAUUGGUUAGGGCAUGAUUGAUAGUGCAUGAAUUGAUCCCGUAUAGUUUCGGCUGUACGUAUUGACAUUAGAUCUCAGAUGAAGCGAGACAACCCCCUGAAUUUAA